GAAGAGGUGGCUGAGUGGUUUAAAGCGAUAGACUGUAAAUUUAUUGAUUAUAUAAUCAUCGUAGGUUCGAGUCCUACUCUCUUCA
rnacentral:tRNA from 1 species